UGAAACGUCGGAGAAAAUAUUACACUAAGUACCAACGUCUUUUCUUAGAAGAAACGUUUCAAAUAAAUCCGUUUAUGUCUGCAUUAGCCAGAAAGAAAAUUGGUGAAUCAGUAGGUCUUACGGAAAAGCAAGUUGGAGAUUGGUUCAAUAAUCGUCGAAGGAAUGAAAGGAAGAAGAAUUCACGCCAGAACAUCAACCAGGAUCAGAAUCGUCAAGUGGAAGAAAAGAAAGAGAACAGGAUUCGUACCAGAACGUCAACCCAAACCUAGAAGAAUCUGUUUAUCAUCAAGCUGAGCCAAGCGAUAUAAUUAAUAGGUUCACCACCGAUAACUCAGUGAAUCGUAGUAGCUAUCAAAAUUAUUGGAGUUACUUUUAUGUGUCAUUCUACUUGAACAUGAUGCUAUAUUACAGAACUCAUGCUAAUCAAGAGAAUUGUAAUUUUUAUUUGAAUGAAUUUUAUCGAAAUAAAUUGAUUAUGCCGCAAUU